rnacentral:lncRNA from 1 species
UGUCCAUAUAAAAAUUGUUUUGGUCUUCGUUGUCAAGAGGCACUAUAAUUACAAUCAAACUAAAAAAAUCACUUCUCUUUACUUUUUUUCUUCUCCCAGAUUUUCUCAAUUGCUCUCUCCCGAUCAUUAUUUUUUUCACUUUCUUUGAUUUUUCUAGAGAAUCAUCUUUCAUGUUCUUUCUUUUUUUCCAGAUUCACAUCUUUUGCAAUCGUUCUACUCAAGUUUCUUGAUAUAUACAAGCCAAAUCAUAGUGUCCACCUUUGAAAGGCAGUAAGUUACACGCGCCAAGCUUUUUACUCUGGUGUGGCGGUUCCCUAUGAGAGCUUCGGCGCUCUGGUGGCUCGUUAUGGCGGUGGUUGUCACUGUUAGAAGACGACGGUGAUGUCGUCGGACUCCGCUAGUUAGCCAUCGGGGUGUUAGGGUUUCUCCCGAUUGAUGUGAGAUCUUAGUUUGUCAAUGUCGGAUCUUUUCUUGGCGAUGGCGGUUCUCUGGGACCUGCAACCUCCAGCGUGACCUACGCUCAUGACCGGUGGAUUGAUGAGAGGCAAAUAGAUCUUCGGACUUGCGAGAAGGCGAGUUCCAGUCACGACUGCGGCGGCUAUGGUCUGUUGGGAUCCGGAUCUCGUUUGGGAACUAGUGUUGGCAGCCGCGGGACACCUUUGACGCUGGCGUUACACUGAAGAUACACCGACGACGGUUGUUCAGCUGGCCUUGGAACCCAGCGACUGUGUAGUCUCGGAUAAUCCGAUUUGGAAGCCAUUGGUGUUCAAUCAUAGCGUAGUGAUGUCGAUUGUCUUCUUUCCCUUCCCUGAGUUCUCCUUCUUGUUGUUAGUUGUAUAUUUGUUAGAUUUGUCAUUUUUCUUCCUGUAACCUAGGUUUAUCGUUUCGCCGGCUAACUGUUUCCGUUAUGUUUUUUUUAUCGACUAUUGCGUUCUGUUUUCCGAUGUCCCCUUAGAAGAAGAUAUUAAUGAAAUAUUAUUAAUUAAAAAAAUGCUUAGAAAGC